rnacentral:rRNA from 1 species
UACGUAGGGGGCUAGCGUUGUCCGGAUUUAUUGGGCGUAAAGAGCGUGUAGGCGGCCAGGUAGGUCUGCUGUGAAAACUCGAGGCUCAACCUCGAGACGUCGGCGGAAACCAUCUGGCUAGAGUCCGGAAGAGGAGAGUGGAAUCCCUGGUGUAGCGGUGAAAUGCGCAGAUAUCAGGAGGAACACCAAUGGCGAAGGCAGCUCGCUGGGACGUGACUGACGCUGAGACGCGAAAGCGUGGGGAGCAAACAGG